rnacentral:rRNA from 1 species
CACGUAGGGUGCGAGCGUUGUCCGGAAUUAUUGGGCGUAAAGAGCUCGUAGGCGGUUUGUCGCGUCUGCCGUGAAAGUCCGGGGCUCAACUCCGGAUCUGCGGUGGGGUACGGGCAGACUAGAGUGAUGUAGGGAGACUGGAAUUUCCUGGUGUAGCGGUGAAAUGCGCAGAUAUCAGGAGGAACACCGAUGGCGAAGGCAGGUCUCUGGGGCAUUUAACUGACGCUGAGGAGCGAAAGCAUGGGAGCGAACAGG